rnacentral:rRNA from 1 species
GACGAACGCUGGCGGCGUGCUUAACACAUGCAAGUCGAGCGGUAAGGCCCUUUCGGGGGUACACGAGCGGCGAACGGGUGAGUAACACGUGGGUGACCUGCCCUCAGCUCUGGGAUAAGCCUGGGAAACCGGGUCUAAUACUGGAUAUGACUCCAUGACGCAUGUUGUGGGGUGGAAAGCCUUGUGCGGCUGAGGAUGGGCCCGCGGCCUAUCAGCUUGUUGGUGGGGUGANGGCCUACCAAGGCGACGACGGGUAGCCGGCCUGAGAGGGCGACCGGCCACACUGGGACUGAGACACGGCCCAGACUCCUACGGGAGGCAGCAGUGGGGAAUCUUGCGCAAUGGGCGAAAGCCUGACGCAGCGACGCCGCGUGAGGGAUGACGGCCUCGGUUGUAA